AUUGAACGCUGGCGGCAUGCUUUACACAUGCAAGUCGAACGGCAGCACGGGUGCUUGCACCUGGUGGCGAGUGGCGAACGGGUGAGUAAUGCACCGGAACGUAUCCAAUAAUGGGGGAUAACGCACCGAAAGGUGUGCUAAUACCGCAUACGCCCUGAGGGGGAAAGCGGGGGAUCGUAAGACCUCGCGUUAAUGGAGCGGCCGAUGCCGGAUUAGCUAGUUGGUGAGGUAAAGGCUCACCAAGGCGACGAUCCGUAGCUGGUCUGAGAGGACGACCAGCCACACUGGAACUGAGACACGGUCCAGACUCCUACGGGAGGCAGCGAGGUGGGUAAUUUUGGAACAAGUGGGCGACAA
rnacentral:rRNA from 1 species